AAGACAGAGAAGCCAGGUCACGUCUCUGCAGUUACACAGCUCACGAGUGCCUGCUGGGGUGGAACCUGGUCUGUCUGUCU
ensembl:miRNA MIR370 microRNA mir-370